rnacentral:rRNA from 1 species
UGCCAGCCGCCGCGGUAAUACGGAGGGUGCAAGCGUUGUUCGGAAUUACUGGGCGUAAAGCGCGUGUAGGCGGCUUGGUGAGUCGGAUGUGAAAUCCCGAGGCCCAACCUCGGAACUGCAUCCGAUACUGCCAAGCUCGAGUCUCGGAGAGGGUGGCGGAAUUUCCGGUGUAGAGGUGAAAUUCGUAGAUAUCGGAAGGAACACCAGUGGCGAAGGCGGCCACCUGGACGAUGACUGACGCUGAGACGCGAAAGCGUGGGGAGCAAACAGGAUUAGAUA